AGAACGCGUGCCCGGAGGGUGGUAGGUCACCGCGCUCCUAGCACCUGAGACCUGGGGCGCCCCUGGCCUGAGUGAACGCGCCAAUCACGGCUGCACUCUCCUGAACAGGGAACUGGCGGGGCGGGAAAAAUCGACUUGGUUCCGGGUUCGCAAGCGGAUUUACUUUGAAAAAAUUGGAUUUAUGACCCAGCAGUUCCCUUGGUGUCUAUCUCAGAGUAACCCUCGCACAAUGCAUAAAAAGGUUUGUGCACGGAUACUCCUAUAUAGGCUCACAAACAGUACAGAAUUAUGAACAAUGCUUGCAGUUGCAGAAAAUUGAAAUCAGUGGGGGAAUGAAGAAAUAAAUCAUGAAACAUUCCUACUAUGGAAUAUUAUGCAAUCGUGACAAGGGAUGAGGUGAUUCCAUAUGGCAAAAAAUCUCCCGAAGUGUGUAAUAAGUAAAAAAGGCAAGUAGAAUUAAAAUACUUGGGUUUGUUUUUAAAAGAAUAAAAGUUCAUGGGAAAUGGAAUUAAAAGAUAAAAUUUAAAAAUAUAAACUUUGUUUUUCAACGUAAGCUCCAUCAAGUUAAAGACAGUUUGGUAAGUGAUGAUACCGGCUCUUUAGUCCAUCUGUAAAGAAUUGAGGGUUCUGGGAAUUUAAUCAUGAAAAUGCAGGCUUUUUUACGUUAUUAACUGAAGAAAAAUGGGUGCCAUUUACAGAUUUUUCACGAUUAGAAAACAAAAAUAUGUCAGAAGGAGCCAGGUCAGGAAUGUAAGAUGGAUACCUGAUAGUUUCCCAUCGAAAUCCCUGGAAAAAUGCCCUUAUUUAAAGAGAGGAAUGAGCAGGAACAUUGUCCUGAUGGAGAAGGACUCUCUGGUGAAGAUUUCGUAGGUGUUUUUAUGCUAAAGCUUUGCUUCACUUUCUCCUAUAGUAAGCGGAUGUUAUUGCUCUUCCACCCUCCAGAAAGUCAACAGGCAAAAUACCUUGAGCAUCCCAAAAAGCUGCUGCUAUGACUUCGGCUCUUGACCAGUCUACUUUUGAUUUGACUGGACCACUUGCACCUCUUGGUAACUAUUGCUUUGAUCCAGAAUCAUACUGAGAAAGCUAUGUUUGAUCUCCUGUUACAAUUCUUCAAAGAAAUGUUUCAAUAUAUGAUCCCACUUGUUUACAAUUUCCAUUGAAAGCCCUGCUCUUGUCUGCAGCUCAUCUGGGUGCAACAGUUUUGCACCCAUCGGGUGAAAAGUUUGCUCAACUUCAGUUUUUCAGUGAGAAAUGUGUAAGUAGAACCAGUUGAAAUGUCUAUGGUGUUGUAUAUUAUUUGUGCUGUUAAUUGUGGGUCCUCUUCAAUUAGGGCACACCGAAGAAUAAUCUUUUCCUCAAAAAUCGAUGUGGAUUGUCUGCCACUGCAGGCUUCCUCUUCAACAUUGUCUCAUCCCUUCUGCAAACAAGUUAUCCAUUUGUAAACUUCAGAUUUCUUUGGGGGAAUUUUCCCCAUCAAACUUUUGUAAAGCAUCCUUGAUUUCACCAUUCUUCCACCCAAUCUUGACCAUAAAUUUGAUGUUUUUUCUUGCUUCAAUUCAUGCUGCUCUGAUAGGGGCUGUUUUCAAGCUGAUGUCUUAUCCUUUUUAGUGCCUCAAACUAGAUCUUGUUCAGAUACAUUAUAACAAGUGAGUACGAAUUUUUGGUGCAAAAAAGUUUGAAAUUCAUACAUAGUUUUUUUUUUAGUUAGGAAAAAUGUUUAUAUAAAUUUAAAUUUACAUAUAUUCCAUCCUUCUCUUAACUGAAAAGAGUAAGAAACUUUCUGAGAUUUUCUUUGUUACCAGUUCCUUUUUUUUUUUUUUUUUUAAUAUACUUUAAGUUCUGGGAUACAUGUGGAGAAUGUGGAGGUUUGUUAUGUAGGUAUACAUGUGCCAUGGUAGUUUGCUGCACCCAUUAACUCGUUGUCUACAUUAGGUAUUUCUCCUAAUGCUAUCCAUCCCCUUGCCCCCCAACCCCCGACAGGCCCCAGAGUGGAUGUUCCCCUCCCUGUACCCAUAUGUUCUCAUUUUUCAACUCCCACUUAUGAGUGAGAACAUGGGGUGUUUGGUUUUCUGUUCUUGUGUUAGUUUGCUGAGAAUGAUGGUUUGCAGCGUCAUCCAUGUCCCUCCAAAGGACAUGAUCUCAUCUUUUUUAUGGCCGCAUAGUAUUCCAUGGUGUGUAUGUGCCACAUUUUCUUUAUCCAGUCUAACAUUGAUGGGCAUUUGGGUUGGUUCCAAGUCUUUGCUAUUGUGAAUAGUGCUGCCAGAAACAUACGUGUGCAUGUGUCUUUAUAGUAGAAUGAUUUAUAGACCUCUGGGUAUAUACCCAGUAAUAGGAUUGCUGGGUCAAAUGGUAUUUCUAGAUCCUUGAGGAAUCGCCACACCAUCUUCCACAAUCGUUGAACUUAUUUACACUCCCACACUGUUACCCAGUGUGAAAGCAUUCCUAUUUCCCCACCUUCUCUCCAGCGUCUGUUGUUUCCUGACUUUUCAAUGAUCGCCAUUCUAACUGGCGUGAGAUGGUAUCUCAUUGUGGUUUGCAUUUGCAUUUCUCUAAUGACUAGUGGUGAUGAGCUUUUUUUCAUAUGUUUGUUGGCCACAUAAACGUCUUGUUUUGAGAAGUGUCUGUUCAUAUCCUUCAUUCAUUUUUUGAUGGGAUUGUUUUUGUUGUUGUUUUGUUUUUGUUUUUGCUUGUUUUUUUUGAAACAGAGUCUUGCUCUUGUUACCCAGGCUGGAGUGCAAUGGUGCAAUCUCAGCUCACUGCAACCUCCACCUCCUGGGUUCAAGUGGUUCUCCUGCCUCAGCCUCCGUAGUAACUGGGAUUAGAGGUGCCUGCCACCAUGCGCAGCUAAUUUUUUUUUUUUUUUGGUAUUUUUAAUAGAGACGGGGUUUCACUGUGUUGGCCAGGCUGGUCUUGAACUCCUGAC
rnacentral:lncRNA from 1 species